AACGAACGCUGGCGGCAGGCUUAACACAUGCAAGUCGAACGCUCCGCAAGGAGAGUGGCAGACGGGUGAGUAACGCGUGGGAACCUUCCUAUCGGUUCGGAAUAGCUCAGGGAAACUUGGGGUAAUACCGGAUACGCCCUAUGGGGGAAAGAUUUAUCGCCGAUAGAUGGGCCCGCGUCUGAUUAGCUAGUUGGUGAGGUAAUGGCUCACCAAGGCGACGAUCAGUAGCUGGUUUGAGAGAAUGACCAGCCACCACUGGGACUGAGACACGGCCCAGACUCCUACGGGAGGCAGCAGUGGGGAAUCUUGGACAAUGGGCGCAAGCCUGAUCCAGCCAUGCCGCGUGAGUGACGAAGGCCUUAGGGUUGUAAAGCUCUUUUAGCAGGGAAGAUAAUGACGGUACCUGCAGAAUAAGCCCCGGCUAACUUCGUGCCAGCCGCCGCGGUAA
rnacentral:rRNA from 1 species